CCUACGGGUGGCAGCAGUGGGGAAUAUUGGACAAUGGGGGCAACCCUGAUCCAGCCAUGCCGCGUGUGUGAAGAAGGCCCUCGGGUUGUAAAGCACUUUCAGUGAGGAAGAACGCCUGGUGGUUAAUACCCAUCAGGAAAGACAUCACUCACAGAAGAAGCACCGGCUAACUCCGUGCCAGCAGCCGCGGUAAUACGGAGGGUGCGAGCGUUAAUCGGAAUUACUGGGCGUAAAGCGCGCGUAGGUGGCUUGAUAAGCCGGUUGUGAAAGCCCCGGGCUCAACCUGGGAACGGCAUCCGGAACUGGCAAGCUAGAGUGCAGGAGAGGAAGGUAGAAUUCCCGGUGUAGCGGUGAAAUGCGUAGAGAUCGGGAGGAAUACCAGUGGCGAAGGCGGCCUUCUGGACUGACACUGACACUGAGGUGCGAAAGCGUGGGUAGCAAACAGGAUUAGAUACCCGUGUAGUC
rnacentral:rRNA from 1 species